GCAGUGAGUUUCCAGGUGUGGAUCCAGCAGUGAGUUUCCAGGUGGGGAUCCAGCAGUGAGUUUCCAGGUGGAUUUGGGAAUCUACCUGCAGAUCCUACCCAAGGUGCAAAGGAAGCUCUGCAAGGCAGAGCAAGGCAGCUCUUUGCAGUUCUUGUGAGACACGUUUGUCAGUUCUGAAAAGAAAAGUGCACAUGAAAAUGUGUAAAGUAGGAGUGGUGUUUGCUCCCUGGGUUUUCUGUGUUGGCUCCAAGAGAAAUACAGAAUGCCAAGAGAAGUGUGGAAAUUGUAACCUUGGGAUCCAUUUGGGGCAUGUAAAUCCUUCUCUAAGCACUUCCUGAAAAGCAGUGAAGUCCCAGAGUCAUCAGUAAUGCUUACAGAACUUGUGGAAUUUGGGUUUUUUAAGGAGCCUUCAGAUUUUUUUUUUUUUUUCACGUGGCUGAGAUGACACAGUGGCGUCGAGGCCAUUGACUUUACCAGAGGUCUCAUGCCACCAAAUCCCAGAGAUGCUUUCAAAAACCUUACCUCAAGUUCUCAGCCCUUAGCACUCCCCUCGGCUGCUCAAAAUGCAAAUCUGUUUCUUCUGAAGGUAGAGCACAUCCCUGUGAAGCCAAGUAGGCACCUCCAGGGACUUGUUUCCAUAACAACCUCCCGGACUGUUUCUCUCCGUGCUGUGACUGUGGCUACAAGCAAAAGCACUCGCUGGAUAUUUUGUGUUCAGAUAUCAGCACCUUAUCUUUACAGAUGUUUUCUUUGCUUACUGGAGCUGAUCCCAUCACCUUAUAUCACGUACAGCUGCCCUGUCCAACUGCAGGUGGGCAGUCUCCAGCCUUUGAAAGUAGGGAGUGCAAACCUGGGGAUGGGAAGAGGUUUUGUUUGUCCAUCCUCGCACACAGAGAGCUGGAGAGUGUGCGAAGGACAAUCUGAGCACUCAGCCAGGGAGCUGAGGAACAGCCAGCCUGUGAAUGUGGAGUCAUCUGUGUGCCUGGUGACAAGGAAUACAAACUAAAGCAUUGUAUUAAAGACCCAGAAAUUCCCCUUGCAGCAAUCUCACUAGGAAAUAGUUUUGCAGUGGAAGAGACUGUUGCUCCUUCCAGAUCCCAUGCCUGCUUUGUGAUGGUUUGUUCCCCUGAUAAUUUUCCCACAGGAUGUUUUGCAUCAAAGCAGGGCAGGUCAGAAAUCAUCUCCUUGGAGGCAGGGAAAGAAGGAAGGAAGGAAAAGAAGAAUUUUAUUGAGGACACAGAUUUUUUAUCCACACAAAGGACUAGAAGCAUGAAAGGCAUGAAGACCUGUUCUGUGGUGUUUUACUGGUGGAUUCCUGCUCUUACCUCCAAGACGAAAUUCCUCUCCUACUCCUUCUUGGAAAACGUUGGAAUUCAGGAUUUUUGAGUAAUUUUCUGUUUGGGCCUUUUGAUCCAGCUUUCAUGGAUAAAAAAUCACUGCCAGAGCAGCCACGGGGGUGAAGGUGACUGGACUUGGUAUUCUCUCCUGGGUCCUCUCAUUCAGAGGUCCCUAUAGGAUAAAGAAGAGUGAGUGUCAAGAAAAUUCAGGGCAGCAGGAGACAGGAUAAGGACUGGAGUGUCUUCCACAUGGUGAUGGAAAGAACAGCAUCAACCCUAAAAGCAAAGGAACAGACAGCUCCAGCAUCUGCUGCUGUUGCAGAAAUAGGUCCUGUUUGCAUCAGGGAAAGAUCUGCAGGAGUCAACCACAGCUUUCCCAAAAGCUCUCAUCUGACUCAAAUCCAAUGUGGGUCCAGUGUCAGCUCCAAUACUUCCUUGAAUUCAGUUAGGUGACACUCAAAUGCUCCAGAAAAGAUGGAAUGACAGCCCAAACGUCAUGGAUACUACAGCAUGUAUUCCCAGUGACAGAAGGGAUGUUCCAGUGCUUUGGCUAUGGCUGAGCCAAGCCAGUUGUUCUUUUCUGCAGUUGCAACACUUGCCCAGGCUGGAUUGUGAAUGCUUCAAGGCUGCCGUGUCAGGACACUGCAAAAGAGGCUUUUGAAUCUUUUUCCUGUAGAGUUGGUGAAGUUUCUCUCUGUGCAGGGGGUACAGCCUUUUUGGUCAGGAGACUGUUUUCCUUGCUCUGUGGUUUCCUUGUUGCUGUUGCUUUUAAAGAGGUCAACACUCUUAGUUCCAGGAAAUUGAAACUAAAUGUGAACAGGGACUGGAGGAAGGAAGCAGGGAGAAUCCCCUACAAGAUUCCAAUGCCUCUUGUUUCUGGGAAAACUAAAUAAAGCAGGAUUCCACUGCCAGUGGCCAAAUAGCAGCGAUUUAUGAGCUGUUCCUCAAAAGCCCCAGACAAGCACCGAGUCCUGUGGGAAGCUGGAGAUUGACACACGACACCUCCAGAAGAGCCUGCUGUUGAAACUUCCAUUCAAGCCUUUUUUUCAAGUGGAGCAUCCAGACCUGGCAAAUGCAUAAGGUCAGCCCUUAAAAGAGCAAGGAGCUCUCUCUAAGAAAAUCAAACAAGUGGCUGAAGUCUGUCCGUUUGUCUGCCUGUCUUCUUGGCCUUGGAUUACUGGGCUUUUCAAAGCUGUGCUUUCAUAACUCAGAUAAAAAGGUAGAUGUUUCAUAUAGCUCUACAAGUAGUAAUCAUCCUGUUCAUGCAAAAUAUCUGCUACCUGAGGGAUGGGCACAAACCAGAGGUGUUUCUCAUUUACCUGCAAAGCAUCUGGCUUUAGCAUCUGUACAGUCAGUUGUGAACACGUGAGUCCAUGCCUGCUCUAACAGAGUUAGUGGCUUAUUCUCAGUGGUCAUAGAGAAUUUCACUGAAAUAGCACAGUUUGUAGUCUAUUGUGUGACUUAGGAGACACAAGAGCCAGACAAUUCUGCAAUUGUAAUAUAAUUGUACACAGUGCUCCCAGAAAAUGCUCUGAAGUCUUCUCCCGCUGUACCAUUGUGAUAAAAACCUCUUCUGCUUUUCAAGCUCCACAAGUCCAUGCUGUGCCAUGCUGAAAGUGAUAGAAAAACCCAAUUAGCUCUGAAAAGUGAAGGGCAGAGUGAGGUGCUCUGGUCUGGAAUUCCCUCCCUUUGGCAGCAGCAAAGGUCAGCCAUGCAGCCAAAUUUCCGUGACCACGUGUGGAUCCAGCCUGUGUGUGUUGCCAGCUCUCUGCACAGGAGAGUGGGAGGGCGGGUAGGAAGGAUUGAUUCUAGAAGGGGAGAGCCUGAGAGGAAGAAUGGAGUUAAAUGUGAGAGUUGGGACUUUCAGAAGAUCGUUUGAUGGAUGCUGGGCAUCCAACUAUCCGAGAACUCUUUAUCAGUAACACCCUGUACAUCUUCCUGAGUGACUUUUAGCCUGUCUGGCAGUUUUCAGUGUCAGCGUGUGGGGGAAAAGAGGUAGGAGGCAACUCUGAUUUGGCAGCUCUGGGACUGCAAUACCUCCUUGUGGCUGCUGGCUGAGGGUCUGGAUCUCUGAGGAGCUUCCUGACUACCUGUGGCUUCCACAGGCUUGUAGGACUGGGCUUAGAGAAACCCUGAGCUGCCAGAGGGAGGCUGCUUCUGGUGCAGCUCUUCUGAGUAGUCCUGGACACGGAUGUGAGCCUGCAGUCCUUGGGAGGCAAAACACAUUCCACAAUCCCAAGGGACCUGCUCUGUCUCUCGGGGCAGGCCAGCUGUGGGAAUCCUCUGAGCCCUUUUAUCCUGAUCUGUGUGUCGAGGCCAGGUGGCUGACCAUGAGUGACCAGAGCUGCCAUGGACCCUUCUUGCAAGGGCAGUUGUCUUCAGAGUCAGUGUAGGUACAGGCUAUCUUUGGAAAAGUGUGAAUAUCCUGGGGAAAUCCAUGGGGCAGAAACCUUGGGCCAUGCUGUGUGCCCACACCAUCAGCAGGGAUGAUAUUGACAGGGCUGCUUUGCUUUUGGUGUGAAACCUUGCUCUGAUGCAUCAUUCCAAGGAAAACAGCUGGAAUUUGCAGGCCGGAUCAUGUGGUGAGCUGAU